rnacentral:misc_RNA from 1 species
GAAAUGCGAUAAGUAAUGUGAAUUGCAGAAUUCAGUGAAUCAUCGAAUCUUUGAACGCACCUUGCGCUCCCUGGUAUUCCGGGGAGCAUGCCUGUUUGAGUGUCAUGGUAUCCUCAACCUUCAUAACUUUUUGUUAUCGAAGGCUUGGACUUGGAGGUUGUGCUGGCUUCCAGUCGAGUCGGCUCCUCUUAAAUGUAUUAGCGUGAGUGUAACGGAUCGCUUCGGUGUGAUAAUUAUCUGCGCCGUGGUCGUGAAGUAACAUAAGCUUGCGCUUCUAACCGUCCUUCAGUUGGACAACUUACUUUGACAUCUGACCUCAAAUCAGGUAGGACUACCCGCUGAACUUAAGC